UACAGAGGGUGCAAGCGUUGUUCGGAAAUUAUUGGGCGUAAAGCGCGUGUAGGCGGCUUUGCAAGUCGGGUGUGAAAGCCCCCCGGCUCAACUGGGGAGGGUCACUCGAUACUGAUCGAUUCGAAGGCAGGAGAGGGAAGCGGAAUUCCCGGUGUAGUGGUGAAAUGCGUAGAUAUCGGGAGGAACACCAGUGCGAAGGCGGCUUUCUGGCCUGCUCUUGACGCUGAGGCGCGAAAGCUAGGGUAGCAAACGGG
rnacentral:rRNA from 1 species